rnacentral:rRNA from 1 species
AAGGGUAGCAAUACCUGAGUAAAGUGGCGCACGGGUGAGUAACACGUGACUAACCUACCCUGGAGUGGGGGAUAACUGAGGGAAACCUUAGCUAAUACCGCAUAAUACCCACGGGUCAAAGGAGCAAUUCGCUUUGGGAGGGGGUCGCGGCCGAUUAGUUAGUUGGCGGGGUAAUGGCCCACCAAGACUGUGAUCGGUAUCCGGCCUGAGAGGGCGCACGGACACACUGGAACUGAAACACGGUCCAGACUCCUACGGGAGGCAGCAGUGGGGAAUUUUGCGCAGUGGGGGAAACCCUGACGCAGCAACGCCGCGUGGAGGAUGAAGUCCUUCGGG